CCCCGUGGGAGAGGAGAGGGAAUUGAAUGAAGCAAGUUCCAGUGAAUUUCCCAAAAGCAAAUCUGCAACAGAAUUCAGGUGCCUUGUCUGAUUGGAAAAAAGUCCAAUAGUUUCCAGCAGCACGUGGAGAAGUGCACAGGGGCUUGCUGGAGGUUCUGAUUGACUUGGAUCAAGCAGAGCAUUGGAUUUCUAGCUUUAGGACGUGCUUUACUCAUGCAGUGACCAUUGCUAGUCUCAGAAAGUGCUUGCUGCUGAUAGCACUUACAAAGGUGCUUUGAAACAUUCUCCAACUAACAUAUAGGAUGUCAGCCUGUCCACCACGUGUGCUUAAGCGUGGCAUUUCAAUGCUCACAAAGCACAUUUUCUCACUGGAGAUUAAAUAUUUUUGCAAGUUAAAAGAGCUGCCGUGGGCUGAGUUGUCACCUAAUUAUGUCAGUCUCUUUGUGGAGUAUUUUGAUAAUCAACAUCAGAAGGGGCUCUUUAAUCUUCGUGCUACAUCUAAUCACGUCACGUCCCACAUUUACACGUACAGGGAGCUCUCUGGAUGAGCCCUUGGCUUUGCUGUUGCUCUGAGAGCAGAAUGCAGUGGUGGAAGGAGUCUGAGUGCUCCAUGCUCUUUUUAAACUGGAAUUCUAACAAACAGCUCUUGUUGGUGGUGAGGAGCCUGGGAGAUGAACAGGACUGCAGCCACAGAACGCCGAGGCUUGACGGGAGAAGAAUCUGCUUAGAAUCCCACUAAAAGUGUUGAUAAACACAAAUCAAAUGUAAUAAAAGCUUUUCACAUCCUUCGUUCUCGCAGAGAUUUGACAAAAAUAAAUUCCACAUAAACAAGCGGGUUCCAAAAAUAAAAGCAGUCUUGCAAUGAGGCCAAAAAUGAGAUCGUCUCCGUGCUCCUCCAGCUGCUAAGGGCUGUUACUCCUCUUUGUAUUGCAGCAGUGCUUGGAGAUUUUGGCUUCAAUUGGAACCGCUGGUGGGUGGCAGGUGUCACAAAGAGGUUGCUAAAGUCUGCCUAACUGACCUGGGCUGCAAAAUGUCAGGGCUGAGAGCGGAUCCCAAUUCUGACUCCCACUGUGUUGACUCUUAUGUAUGCAAGUUCUUAGCUGAAUUGAAUGGUUUUGGCUGUAAAGCUGAUCUACAAAGGAAGGUAAGUUACAAUCAGGUCUUUUUUUCUUUCUCUUUUUUUUGUCCCUGCGAGGAGCCCACGAGAUAAGAUGGAAAGCUCAGAAAACAGCUCUUGCGUGACGUGUGGUUGUAUCCCAGCCUGCAGCCCUUCUUCAAAAGCAACAAAGCAGUACUUCAUCAUCAUCUCUCCAGGGAGGAGCAGUGACUAAUGGCAGUAAGGCAGGUACCAAAGGAGAAGCCCAACACCCAGGAAGCUUUACUUCCUUUGGGAAAUCCUGAGAUCAUCCCAGGAUAAGCUCGCUAAUUGUACUGAAAAGCAUUAAUAUUAAAGCAUCCAACACUGA